CGAGGCUGUGACCCAUAACAGUGCCCACAUAACGGAGGAGCCACCAGACCCCUUGGCCAUGCCUGCCGUAGUGCAACGUGUAAUCUGGAUGGUCGGGUCAGGUACACCUAGGAAAUGUUGUAUACAUUGGCAACGAUAACUGGGGCCUGCUCCAGUGCCAUCGCCGGGAUUCCCUGUUCUGCAAAGAACUGGCAUAACUGAUGUGGGGAGCCCUGGCGCUCGGCGUAGGAGCGUCACAGGGGCUCCUUGUCGGUGCUUGAAGGACGGCAGUGCUGUUGAGAAGCCGACAUUGAGCCCCGAUAAAUUGGAAGCUGUGGGUAGUUACCGCAUUAUUGGCUUGGAAACUAGUGAGGUCUGGAUGCAAGUGAAGCUACCGAGGGAGGCAUGUGUGCAUCACUUGUGCUGCUGGCCAUCCUCUGCAAAAGUGAUGGCUGGCUGUCAGUGCUUGGAUGACUUUCUGUUACUCUACGCCUUGGGCUGUGUUGACUACUUCACACUUGCUGCCAUGUCUGCAAGUUACUGUGUUGUGUUACUGUGUUG